GGGACACGUGGUAUCCUGUCUGAAUAUGGGGGGACCAUCCUCCAAGGCUAAAUACUCCUGACUGACCGAUAGUGAACCAGUACCGUGAGGGAAAGGCGAAAAGAACCCCGGCGAGGGGAGUGAAAAAGAACCUGAAACCGUGUACGUACAAGCAGUGGGAGCACGCUUAGGCGUGUGACUGCGUACCUUUUGUAUAAUGGGUCAGCGACUUAUAUUCUGUAGCAAGGUUAACCGAAUAGGGGAGCCGAAGGGAAACCGAGUCUUAACUGGGCGUUAAGUUGCAGGGUAUAGACCCGAAACCCGGUGAUCUAGCCAUGGGCAGGUUGAAGGUUGGGUAACACUAACUGGAGGACCGAACCGACUAAUGUUGAAAAAUUAGCGGAUGACUUGUGGCUGGGGGUGAAAGGCCAAUCAAACCGGGAGAUAGCUGGUUCUCCCCGAAAGCUAUUUAGGUAGCGCCUCGUGAAUUCAUCUCCGGGGGUAGAGCACUGUUUCGGCAAGGGGGUCAUCCCGACUUACCAACCCGAUGCAAACUGCGAAUACCGGAGAAUGUUAUCACGGGAGACACACGGCGGGUGCUAACGUCCGUCGUGAAGAGGGAAACAACCCAGACCGCCAGCUAAGGUCCCAAAGUCAUGGUUAAGUGGGAAACGAUGUGGGAAGGCCCAGACAGCCAGGAUGUUGGCUUAGAAGCAGCCAUCAUUUAAAGAAAGCGUAAUAGCUCACUGGUCGAGUCGGCCUGCGCGGAAGAUGUAACGGGGCUAAACCAUGCACCGAAGCUGCGGCAGCGACGCUUAUGCGUUGUUGGGUAGGGGAGCGUUCUGUAAGCCUGCGAAGGUGUGCUGUGAGGCAUGCUGGAGGUAUCAGAAGUGCGAAUGCUGACAUAAGUAACGAUAAAGCGGGUGAAAAGCCCGCUCGCCGGAAGACCAAGGGUUCCUGUCCAACGUUAAUCGGGGCAGGGUGAGUCGACCCCUAAGGCGAGGCCGAAAGGCGUAGUCGAUGGGAAACAGGUUAAUAUUCCUGUACUUGGUGUUACUGCGAAGGGGGGACGGAGAAGGCUAUGUUGGCCGGGCGACGGUUGUCCCGGUUUAAGCGUGUAGGCUGGUUUUCCAGGCAAAUCCGGAAAAUCAAGGCUGAGGCGUGAUGACGAGGCACUACGGUGCUGAAGCAACAAAUGCCCUGCUUCCAGGAAAAGCCUCUAAGCAUCAGGUAACAUCAAAUCGUACCCCAAACCGACACAGGUGGUCAGGUAGAGAAUACCAAGGCGCUUGAGAGAACUCGGGUGAAGGAACUAGGCAAAAUGGUGCCGUAACUUCGGGAGAAGGCACGCUGAUAUGUAGGUGAAGUCCCUC
rnacentral:rRNA from 1 species